CUGUGUGAGCAGUGCGAGUAAGCAUGUGGUCGCGCCGGCUCUGCAUUGUGCUGGCUGUACUAGCGGCGUUCGCCAGCGCGGAAGACGACGGGUCUUCGACAGAAGAAUCCGUCACAAAGAGACCUCUUGCUGUCGAUUUGCCGGACCGAUGUCCAACUGGCACUGUUUCUGUUAACGAUCAGUGCAUCAAGACCGUCAGCUUACCACCGCGUGACAAGAAAUGAGAAAAAGUAACCCAGUUCCAGUCAGUGUGAUGGACUGUCCAACUGAAGCACGUCGGUUACCAAUCGAACGUGGUUGUCACGUGUCUUGAAAAUAAAGAACAUCUUUAUGUUAUAUUGAUUUUAGAACAAAUAAAGAUAUUUUUUAAUAAAAUAA
rnacentral:lncRNA from 1 species